rnacentral:rRNA from 1 species
CGCAGCCGCGGUAAUUCCAGCUCCAAUAGCGUAUAUUAAAGUUGUUGCAGUUAAAAAGCUCGUAGUUGAAUUUCGGGAUCAAUAUGUUGGUCGUGCCUUGGUACGUACUGGCAUUAUCGAUUCCUACCUUCUGAAGAACCUCGAUGUCAUUAAUUUGGUGUCUUGGGGAAUCAGGACUGUUACUUUGAAAAAUUAGAGUGUUUAAAGCAGGCUCGCGCUUGAAUACAUUAGCAUGGAAUAAUGAAAUAGGACGUUUGAUUCUAUUUUGUUGGUUUCUAGGAUCGACGUAAUGAUUAAUAGGGAUAGUUGGGGGCAUUAGUAUUCAAUUGUCAGAGGUGAAAUUCUUGGAUUUAUUGAAGACUAACUACUGCGAAAGCAUUUGCCAAGGAUGUUUUCAUUAAUCAAGAACGAAAGUUAGGGGAUCGAAGACGAUCAGAUACCGUCGUAGUCUUAACCAUAAACUAUGCCGACUAGGGAUCGGAUGAUGUUAAUUUUUUAAUGUACUCAUUCGGCGCCUUAA